GAGAGGGAAGUCUGGGCAUCCCUGCUUAGACUGCUGCCCCCGCGACCCGGCCCCGGAUUAAGCGGAAGAUGAUGCGAUGAUGCGAUACCAGUUCAACCACUUCUUUGACCCCGACAGCAAUGACAUCAGGUUUGACCACUCCUUUGACUCCCAGCAAGGCAGUGAAUCCUACAUCAGUGAAACCAUCAUGGCUUGCAGCAAUAGUUGUGGGUAUUUCACUGGCCAUGUUCCUGGUGGUGGGAUUAACAGCUGUCUGUCUGUAUAAGAAGACACAUAGAAGCAAAUCUCAGAGACCUCAAGCCAAACAGGACAAACAUAAGCAACAAUUAGUGAUGACAACCGAAAGCAGUGGAACUAUGGUGCAUUCAGGGGAUAAGGGACCUUAUACUCUCAUCCCCACGGUGCUGACCACGUUCAUGCCCUCAGGUCCUGUUGGAGAAAAUGAAGAAUCCUCUGAAUAUUACAAUUUUGACACAGACCAAGUGUACUGUUCAAUCCCUGACAGAACAGCAGCCUCAGCCCAGACAUACUACAACAUUGGCUUUCUGUAGAUAGUCUUCUGUACAGUUGCAUGUUUUAUUUUUGCUCUCUAUUCAAUCUCUUUGGAUUUGAAAUAUAACAAUGACAAUGGGAUAAAAAUAUAGAUAUAGAACAAAUAAAGCAUUGGUGAGUUUAGCAUUAUCAAACAACUUAGUAGACCCAAGAAGACAAUUAGUGGAUGACCAAAGAAUACUUUUAAGAUGAUGGAAAAACAUCCAACAACAGUCCAACAGACCUGGAACAUUUUCCAUGAGGUUGAGACUCAAAACAGUCAGUAAUGUAAGUUCUCAUUUUGAACUUAUUCAGCAACUCAAUCUCCUACAAUUUAAGUCCAAGAAUUAAUUAAAUGCUGGGAGACCAUUUUUUGUUUUAGAGUUCUGUUCUAAAACAACUACAGUAUAUACAGUUCAGAUUAGUUUUUUGCUUUGUAUGAAAUGCUCUCUGCUGUAAGAAAGCAAUAAUACUUUUUCAUUACAAAUAUUGAGGUUUGUUAGUACUUACUUAUCUCAUUCUUUCAUAGUCCAUAGAACUGCCUUGUCAUCAACAAAACAUCUUGAGUCCGUUUUCCCAGAAAGAGAUUAAGCAUUGAACUGCAACUCCUUUUCUUGAGAAAUUUCCCUUGACAUUUUAUAGUCAAGAAAUUCUUAACUAGUGCAAACAACAUGGUUCAUCGGAACAAGUCCUUACAGGCACCACUCUACACUAGACACUUCCCAUUAGUAUGAUGUUAAUUACUCGUCUCCAUUGUUCUUCCUUUCAUUUUUUGCUCUAAUCAGCUUACUUCAAUUUUUCUGGUAUUUAACAUCAAUCACAACAUAUAAAGGAAAGUCUUUAACUUUUUAGAUCACAAUACUUAACCACAAGUAUAUUUUUGUUUUUGUUCACAAAUGCAAUUAAAUCAGACAUUGAUUUUUAAUAUUGAACUAAAGCUAAGAGCAGUACAUUAAUACAAAGCGGACGCAAAGGAAAAUAUCUAGACACAUGACACAGAUGUGUCAUCCUUUUUAUAUUCUGUUGUGGACAUUAUGAAACCUGAUGCAUUCUUACUGUUUAAAGGACUGAGUCCCAUUGUUUGGAUGUGAGAAUGAAUGAGUUACUAGUUAAAGAUGCCGAGAGGGACAUCUGUCCUAGGGGGACAUCCUUUACCAGCAUCCUUGAUCAGCACCAGUGGAUUAGAUGGUUACUCAUAAAUCAGUAAAUCUGUAUAACCCUUUAGUGUCUCUGUUGAUUAUACAGACAUUGCCUCUCCUUAGGAGUUAAGGAUAAGGUGGGGGGACAGCCCGCCCUUUGGGUAAAUGUUACACAUGACAGAUGGGCAAUAAUUUACCACACCCCUUUUUGUAUGUGUUAUAUACUGUUGUAUGAGCUAUAUUGAGUUAGAGACUCCUCGGACGAUUAUGUUGGGAAGCGGUUGACGCGUCUCUCUUAUUUGCAAAUAAUAAAUAAACUGUUAAAUGGUGCGUCUCUGUACUUCCUUAUUAAAGAGUUCUGAUCG
ensembl:lncRNA